GAUGAACGCUGGCGGCGUGCCUAAUACAUGCAAGUCGAGCGAACGGACGAGAAGCUUGCUUCUCUGAUGUUAGCGGCGGACGGGUGAGUAACACGUGGAUAACCUACCUAUAAGACUGGGAUAACUUCGGGAAACCGGAGCUAAUACCGGAUAAUAUUUUGAACCGCAUGGUUCAAAAGUAAAAGACGGUCUUGCUGUCACUUAUAGAUGGAUCCGCGCUGCAUUAGCUAGUUGGUAAGGUAACGGCUUACCAAGGCAACGAUGCAUAGCCGACCUGAGAGGGUGAUCGGCCACACUGGAACUGAGACACGGUCCAGACUCCUACGGGAGGCAGCAGUAGGGAAUCUUCCGCAAUGGGCGAAAGCCUGACGGAGCAACGCCGCGUGAGUGAUGAAGGUCUUCGGAUCGUAAAACUCUGUUAUUAGGGAAGAACAUAUGUGUAAGUAACUGUGCACAUCUUGACGGUACCUAAUCAGAAAGCCACGGCGAACUACGU
rnacentral:rRNA from 1 species